rnacentral:rRNA from 1 species
AGAGUUUGAUCCUGGCUCAGAUUGAACGCUGGCGGCGUGCUUAACACAUGCAAGUCGAGCGGUAACAGGUGUAGCAAUACAUGCUGACGAGCGGCGAACGGGUGAGUAAUGCUUCGGAAUCUUCCUCGUAGUGGGGAAUAACCUGGGGAAACUCAGGCUAAUACCGCAUACGAACUACGGUUGAAAGCAGGGGAUCGCAAGACCUUGCGCUAUGAGAUGAGCCGAAGUCGGAUUAGCUAGUUGGUGAGGUAAAGGCUCACCAAGGCGACGAUCCGUAGCUGGUCUGAGAGGACGACCAGUCGCACGGGCACUGAGACACGGGCCCGACUCCUACGGGAGGCAGCAGUAAGGAAUAUUGGUCAAUGGACGAAAGUCUGAACCAGCCAUGCCGCGUGGAGGAUGAAGGUCCUCUGGAUUGUAAACUUCUUUUAUAUGGGACGAAAAAAGGCUUUUCUAAGUCGUCUGACGGUACCAUAUGAAUAAGCACCGGCAAACUCCGUGCCAGCAGCCGCGGUAAUACGGAGGGUGCAAGCGUUAUCCGGAUUCACUGGGUUUAAAGGGUGCGUAGGUGGGUUGGUAAGUCAGUGGUGAAAUCUCCGAGCUUAACUUGGGAACUGCCAUUGAUACUAUUAAUCUUGAAUACCGUGGAGGUCGGCGGAAUAUGUCAUGUAGCGGUGAAAUGCUUAGAUAUGACAUAGAACACCAAUUGCGAAGGCAGCUGGCUACACGAGUAUUGACACUGAGGCACGAAAGCGUGGGGAUCAAACAGGAUUAGAUACCCUGAUAGUCCACGCCCUAAACUAUGGAUACUCGACAUUUGCGAUACACAGUAAGUGUCUGAGCGAAAGCAUUAAGUAUCUCACCUGGGAA